rnacentral:rRNA from 1 species
AGUGAACGCUGGCGGUAGGCCUAACACAUGCAAGUCGAACGGCAGCACAGUAAGAGCUUGCUCUUACGGGUGGCGAGUGGCGGACGGGUGAGGAAUACAUCGGAAUCUACUUUUUCGUGGGGGAUAACGUAGGGAAACUUACGCUAAUACCGCAUACGACCUACGGGUGAAAGCAGGGGAUCUUCGGACCUUGCGCGAUUGAAUGAGCCGAUGUCGGAUUAGCUAGUUGGCGGGGUAAAGGCCCACCAAGGCGACGAUCCGUAGCUGGUCUGAGAGGAUGAUCAGCCACACUGGAACUGAGACACGGUCCAGAGUCCUGCGGGAGGCAGCAGUGGGGAAUAUUGGACAAUGGGCGCAAGCCUGAUCCAGCCAGACCGCGUGGGUGAAGAAGGCCUUCGGGUUGUAAAGCCCUUUUGUUGGGAAAGAAAAGCAGCAGGUUAAUACCCCGCUGUUCUGACGGUACCCAAAGAAUAAGCACCGGCUAACUUCGUG